AUUGAACGCUGGCGGCAUGCUUUACACAUGCAAGUCGAGCGGCAGCGCGGGGGCAACCCUGGCGGCGAGCGGCGAACGGGUGAGUAAUGCAUCGGAACGUAUCCUCGAGUGGGGGAUAACCCAGCGAAAGUUGGGCUAAUACCGCAUGAGCUCUGAGGAGGAAAGCGGGGGACCUGCGAGGGCCUCGCGCUGGAGGAGCGGCCGAUGUCCGAUUUGCUAGUUGGUGGGGUAAAGGCUUACCAAGGCGACGAUCGGUAGCUGGUCUGAGAGGAUGAUCAGCCACACUGGGACUGAGACACGGCCCAGACUCCUACGGGAGGCAGCAGUGGGGAAUUUUGGACAAUGGGGGCAACCCUGAUCCAGCCAUGCCGCGUGAGUGAAGAAGGCCUUCGGGUUGUAAAGCUCUUUCGGACGGAACGAAAUGGGCGGGACUAAUACUCCUGUCUGAUGACGGUACCGUAAGAAGAAGCACCGGCUAACUACGUG
rnacentral:rRNA from 1 species